UACGGAGACUGCAAGCGUUACUCGGAUUUACUGGGCGUAAAGGGUCCGCAGGUGGCCAAGUGUGUCAGGUGUGAAAUCCAACGGCUUAACCGUUGAACUGCGCCUGAAACUAUUUGGCUAGAGGCUUGGAGAGGGCAGUGGAAUUCCCAGUGUAGCGGUGAAAUGCGUAGAUAUUGGGAGGAACACCAACGGCGAAGGCAGCUGCCUGGACAAGUUCUGACACUCAGGGGACGAAAAGUGUGGGGGAGCGAAAAGGGG
rnacentral:rRNA from 1 species